UAGGAGAGAAAAGGAUGGAAACCGAGCCAAAAGAUUGUUCGUUAAAAGUUGAUAAACAGAUGGAAAAGGAUUGUUGGUUAACUUCUGAGAAACAUCUUUUUGGAAGAAGUGGAAGUGACUACGAUUUCACAUCCCAUUUUCCGCAAAAAGAAAGAUGAUGAAUUUGAGAACUCCAUGCUAAACAAGCAAGGCUUGAGGAGAGGGUGUAGCCAACUAGAUUAUGGGCCCAUUCAAAACUGUUU